GGGGAUAUGGCGAAAUCGGUAGACGCUACGGACCGACUUUAUAAGUCGUGAGGGUUCAAGUCCCUCUAUCCCCA
rnacentral:tRNA from 2 species